rnacentral:lncRNA from 1 species
CAACCACUAAAACCAAACCCAGUCUGCCAUUUUUGUCUAAUACCCCCUAACAUGGAAGACGGAGGGGUCGAAUGAGAAGAGGAUAUAAGCAUGUGCUGAGGACAGAAGACAAUGACUGGGAUUUCUGCAAGCUAGGAAGGCAAACGAGACGCUUGCGUGGAGCCAGUCCUACAAAAGGCAACUACCUCAGUGCAGGCAAACUGGAAAAAUAAAAUUAAUAUCACAGCAAGAACACAGUGAGAACUCUUGCCUCUGUCAGUUUUGACUCUGGGUAAAGAGGGGAAACAAAGGCUCCUCUAAGAAUUACUAACCACAAGGUGACCAUCGUAUAGGUUUAGUGUCCAAAUUCAUACUAUUUGAGUGGUCUGAAAAACCCAACCUGAGAACUGAAUUUAAAUAAUUACAGGUUAGUAACGACCCAAGGAGCCUGGAAGGAGCAAUCACAAAUCUCUGGGGAAGUUCAAGUCUCAAAGAAUUCCUACAGAAAAGUUCCAAUAACCAUCAGCUCACAGUAAAAUAAAAAAGAAAAAUCACAGACACGUGAGAAAACAAACAACCAUGAGCAAGAGUCAGUAGAAAUAACGAAUAAUAGCAUCAGACCCAGAAGAGCAUAUACAUUGGAAAAAUUAGCUAUAAAAUUUAAAUGAAAUGUAUUUAAUGUAUUCAAAGAAAUGAAAAGGGAUAUUAAAAGUAUGACCAAGGAAUCGGAAAGUAUUUUUUGAAAGACUAGGAAUACUUGAUAUUAAGGAAUUAUAAUGAGUUUUUAAGGAGGUAAGAAAAUGGUACUGUUAUUUGUUGUUGGGUUUUUUUGCUAAGAUUUGCCCUGAGCUAACAUCUGUUGCCAAUCUUCCUACUGUUUUGUUUUAUCUGCUUGAGAAAGACUAGCCCUGAGCUGACAUCUGUGCCAGUCUUCUUCUAUUUUGUAUGAAGGUUGUUGCCACAGCAUGGCCAACAAGUGGUGUAGGUCCAUGCCCAGGAUCUGAUCCUGCGAAACAGCACCACUGAAGGGAGCACACUGAACUCAACCGCUACACCAUGGGGCCAACCUCUUAUUGUUUGUUUUAGAAACAGAAUCCUUGUCUAUUAGAGAUACGUAUUGAACUAUUACAGAUAAAAUGAUAUGAUGUCUGGGAUUUGCUUUGGAAUUAUCUAGAGUGAGAGAGGCAGUAGGCAGAGAUAUAGAGGAAACAAGAUGAGCCAUGAAUUAUUCAUUGUUGACGCUAGAUAAUGACUAUGUAGGGGUUUACUAUACUCUUCUUUUUACUUUGAUAUGUUUGAAGUUUUUCACACUAAUUUUUUUUAAUGAGGAGGCAGUGUGAAGAAAAGCCAAACAGAACUUCUGAAAAUAAAAAAGUAUACUAAAUAAAAUUAGAGACUCAACGGACAUAUUAUAGAUCAUAUUAGACACAGUUGACAAGAGAAUUACUGUACCAGAAGACAAAUAUGAAGU